GCCCGGGUGGCUCAGUCGGUUGAGCGUCCGACUUCGGCUCAGGUCAUGAUCUCGCGGUUCGUGGGUUCGAGCCCCGCGUCGGGCU
rnacentral:tRNA from 1 species